rnacentral:rRNA from 1 species
UACAGAGGUCUCAAGCGUUGUUCGGAUUCAUUGGGCGUAAAGGGUGCGUAGGUGGCGAGGUAAGUCAGGUGUGAAAUCUCGGGGCUCAACCCCGAAACUGCACUUGAUACUGCCUUGCUCGAGUACUGGAGAGGAGAUUGGAAUUUACGGUGUAGCAGUGAAAUGCGUAGAUAUCGUAAGGAAGACCAGUGGCGAAGGCGAAUCUCUGGACAGUUACUGACACUGAGGAGCGAAAGCGUGGGGAGCGAACAGG